AUGUAUUAUAUAGCUAGCCAUGAAGUCAUGGAGAAGAAGAGACACAUAAGAUGGCUGUUUGUCUUCAUGAUAAUUGCACUGUACUGGGGAAGAAUCGAAUACAUGAAAAUAACUCAAGAACAAAGAACUAAAAAUGUUGAUUUUGGCAACACCUCACAUGUAACCCAAGACCAAAAAUAAAGUUACAUUCGGAAGACAGUCACAAUUCAGCGAUCUUAUCCUGCAGAACUCUUUCACUUGGCGUUUACAUCAUAUAAUUUGGUAAAGCGGUUUACACAUUUACUCCUGUGAUUUUCAAGGGGCUUUUAUGGUCUGCCAAGUGGACAAAUGUCAACAAGCUUUAAGGAUUGAUUUACCAGGAUUUCUGUCUCUUGUGAACAGAUUACUGUAGCUCUGAAUAAAACACAUGUAAACAAGCCCAGAAAUCUUAGUGGAAAAAGCAGUUCCCACCAGACCUGGUGGCUUGAUCAGGAAUCCUAGUAGAGUUGCCUCCUGUCACUAUGAAAUCUUGGAGGGGUAACAGCUUUCCCUCUCAUACGGCUGCCCUGGAAAGAUUCCCUGAGUCUGCACAGCCCGUGUGCAGCCAGAGAAUGAAAGUGGCGAAGUGUUAGCGCCCAGGAGCCUCCCCGCUCACAAGCUGCAGGUCUUGUUAAAAACUCCUGUUCUGUUUGUUCCUGGAACUUGCCAAUGGCUCUGACCCUCAAGACCUUUUACCUGUCAGUCUAACCAGAGGCGAUGCCCUCCUGUGGGCGAGAAGACUCAGUACCAGGCAGCUGACAUGAAGUUUCAACUAGGAGUGGGCACUGAGUUGAACACUUUGGCAUUUCCGAUGUUUGGAAAUUCCAAAGUUUUCUUUGUGAAAGAAAAAUAAUGUCAAAUCGCAUCAUUUGUGUCUUUUAAUGUUAUAGCAAUUUUUGAGCUUUGAUUCUGGUUCUUCUUC
ensembl:lincRNA